GUGCUCGCUUUGGCAGCACGUAUACUAAAAUUGGAAUGAUACCGAGAACAAUAGCAUGGCCUCUGCACAAGGAUGACACGCAAAUUCGUGCAGUGUUCCAUAUUAAA
ensembl:snRNA U6 U6 spliceosomal RNA